GUUCUGUAAAAGAGAUCUCUUUACAUGCUUGAACCGUUCUCAUUCUAGUCAUCUCAGUUUAGCCCUUUUUUGAUUUACAAGAGAGAUCUCAGCAAAGGCUUAUACAAUACUCAGACUUGCUCAAUUUAUAUAGCUC